AUUGAACGCUGGCGGCAUGCCUAACACAUGCAAGUCGAACGGCAGCACGGCAGUAGCAAUACUGUGGGUGGCGAGUGGCGGACGGGUGAGGAAUACGUCGGAAUCUGCCCAGUCGUGGGGGAUAACUAGCCGAAAGGUUAGCUAAUACCGCAUACGACCGAGAGGUGAAAGCGGGGGACCGCAAGGCCUCGCGCGAUUGGAUGAGCCGACGUCGGAUUAGCUAGUUGGAGGGGUAAAGGCCCACCAAGGCGACGAUCCGUAGCUGGUCUGAGAGGAUGAUCAGCCACACUGGAACUGAGACACGGUCCAGACUCCUACGGGAGGCAGCAGUGGGGAAUAUUGGACAAUGGGCGCAAGCCUGGUCCAGCAAUGCCGCGUGUGUGAAGAAGGCCUCGGUUGUAAGCACUUUAUCUAGACGAAAGACG
rnacentral:rRNA from 1 species